rnacentral:rRNA from 1 species
UACGGGGGGGGCAAGCGUUGUUCGGAAUUACUGGGCGUAAAGGGCUCGUAGGCGGCUUGCUAAGUCAGACGUGAAAUCCCUCAGCUUAACUGGGGAACUGCGUCUGAGACUGGCAAGCUUGAGUGCAGGAGAGGAACGCGGAAUUCCAGGUGUAGCGGUGAAAUGCGUAGAUAUCGAGAGGAACACCUGCGGCGAAGGCGGGUUGCUGGGCUGGCACUGACGCUGAUGUGCGAAAGCUAGGGGAGCGAACGGG